GAUGAACGCUGGCGGCGUGCCUAAUACAUGCAAGUCGAGCGAACGGACGAGAAGCUUGCUUCUCUGAUGUUAGCGGCGGACGGGUGAGUAACACGUGGAUAACCUACCUAUAAGACUGGGAUAACUUCGGGAAACCGGAGCUAAUACCGGAUGAUAUUUUGAACCGCAUGUUUCAAAAGUGAAAGACGGUCUUGCUGUCACUUAUAGAUGGAUCCGCGCUGCAUUAGCUAGUUGGUAAGGUAACGGCUUACCAAGGCAACGAUGCAUAGCUGACCUGAGAGGGUGAUCGGCCACACUGGAACUGAGACACGGUCCAGACUCCUACGGGAGGCAGCAGUAGGGAAUCUUCCGGAAUGGGCGAAAGCCUGACGGAGCAACGCCGCGUGAGUGAUGAAGGUCUUCGGAUCGUAAAACUCUGUUAUUAGGGAAGAACAUAUGUGUAAGUAACUGUGCACAUCUUGACGGUACCUAAUCAGAAAGCCACGGCUAACUACGUG
rnacentral:rRNA from 1 species